AUGGCGGCCGCUGUGGCAAGAGGCGCUUGGCUGGGGGCCUGGGGCGGAAGACUGCGGCGUGGGAUCACUGCCGGUCGGCGAGCUUGGCCCGGCCCCGGCCCCUUGACCGAGGCAGCGGCCGGUGUGGCCCUGGCAGGCACAGGAGUGGCAUGGUACCGUGGCCGCUUGAAUGUCGUGGCACCCGAGGGCAGCCUCACCGUCUUAGCACAGGAAAAUGUUGACUCUGAAGAGAUGGGAGAAAAAUUGUCCCUUCGUAAACAGCGCUUCAUGCAGUUUUCUUCACUGGAACAUGAAGGAGAAUAUUAUAUGACACCACAAGACUAAUGUUUGACCAAAUGGAACGUAAAACUUCAGUGAAGAAGCUGACAAAAAAGGAUAUCGAGGAGAUACUGGCAGGAAUCCAACCAGCUCAUUGUGGUUCAACCUUUUUUAGAGACCUUGGCAAUAAAGGACUAAUUUCGUAUACUGAGUAUCUUUUCUUGCUUACAAUCCUCACUAAACCUCAUACUGGGUUUCAUGUUGCUUUUAAAAUGCUGGAUGCAGAUGGUAAUGAGAUAGUUGAGAAAAAGGAAUUUUUUAAGCUACAGAAGAUCAUGAGUAAACAAGAUGACUUGAAGACGACAAUAGCUAAUGAAACGGAAUGCCAGGAAUCAACAGUGAAAGAACCUGAAAUUACCACAACCCUUCAGAUACAUUUCUUUGGAAAAAGAGGAGAAAGAAAACUUCAUUAUUGGGAAUUUCGAAGAUUUAUGGAGAAUUUACAAACAGAGGUCCAAGAAAUGGGAUUCCUUCAGUUUUCUAAAGGUUUGAGUUUCAUGAGAAAAGAAGACUUUGUAGAGUGGCUACUUUUCUUCACUGACACUGAAAAUAAAGACAUCUAUUGGAAAAAUGUAAGAGAGAAGUUGUCAGCAGGAGAGAGCAUUAGUUUGGAUGAGUUCAAGUCAUUUUGUCACUUUACGACCCACUUGGAAGACUUUGCUAUUGCUAUGCAGAUGUUCAGUUUAGCUCAUCGUCCUGUCAGACUGGCGGAGUUUAAGAGGGCCAUGAAAGUAGCAACAGGACAGGAGCUCUCAAACAAUAUUUUGGACACCGUCUUCAAGAUCUUUGAUGUGGAUGGUGAUGAAUGUCUUAGUCAUGGAGAGUUUCUCGGGGUUUUAAAAAGCAGGAUGCAUCGAGGUCUAUGGGUACCACAACAACAAAGUGUACAGGAAUACUGGAAAUGUGUGAAAAGAGAAAGCAUUAAAGGAUUAAAAGAAGUCUGGAAACAAGCUGGAAGAAAUCUCUUUUAGAAAAAGAUAAUCUGGGAGUCAUACUGCUCCAAAUGUCAGAAUUUGGAAUUUGUUUAAAAUACUAGAUUUUUGUCUUCUUGGUUUUCUUUGUAAUAUAAAGAUGCCUUGUAUUUACUUUCUGAAUCAAUAAUUUCUUAAUAAAAUUUCAUUAAAGAACUUAGUAAAAAUAGAUACAUUCUGUCAGAGGGCCUAGAAUUGAAGUAAUGCUUUGUACUUUGAUAAGAUGGAAAACCUAGUUAUUCAGUGAUUUCUUAGACACAGUAGUACAACGUGCUCUUUGGAAGGGUGUCAGCUAGUACUUACAGAAAAAAGUAUUUGAUAUACAAGGCCAGUAUCAAGUCCAGAAGUCCUGAUGUUCCCAGUAGGGCAAAUUAAAUUAAAAACUUCUCAGGUUUUCUCAUCUGCAUCUCAUAACUCAUAAAGCUUCUUGUGUAUUUUAUUUCAGUUAGCUGUAUAUUAGUUGUCUUAAAAAUAAUGUGUAAAUUUCAAU